rnacentral:rRNA from 1 species
GAUCCUGGCUCAGGAUGAACGCUAGCUACAGGCUUAACACAUGCAAGUCGAGGGGCGAGCAUGGUCUUAGCUUGCUAAGGCCGAUGGCGACCGGCGCACGGGUGAGUAACACGUAUCCAACCUGCCGUCUACUCUUGGACAGCCUUCUCGAAAGGAAGAUUAAUACAAGAUGGCAUCAUGAGUCCGCUAUGUUCACAUGAUUAAAGGUAUUCCGGUAGACGAUGGGGA